GACAGAGGAUGCAAGCGUUAUCCGGAAUGAUUGGGCGUAAAGCGUCUGUAGGUGGCUUUUUAAGUCCGCCGUCAAAUCCCAGGGCUCAACCCUGGACAGGCGGUGGAAACUACCAAGCUGGAGUACGGUAGGGGCAGGAGGGAAUUUCCGGUGGAGCGUGAAAUGCGUAGAGGAUCGGAAAGAACACCAACGGCGAAAGCACUCUGCUGGGCCGACACUGACACCGAGAGACGAAAGCUAGGGGAGCGAAUGGGAUUAGAACUACGUAGUCAGAUCCAAGAUCCAGUCUGUCACCG
rnacentral:rRNA from 1 species